GCCGCUGUGGUGAAAUGGUAGACACGGGGGACUUAAAAUCCCCUGCCCCUUACCCGGGCAUGCUGGUUCGAUUCCAGCCGGCGGCACCA
rnacentral:tRNA from 1 species